AACAAAUUUGUGCUGGUCCAUCUUGCUGUGGUGGAUUUUUGGUCCACCAACUAUUAAUUCACUUUUUGCAUGAGGUGGGUUCUUUUCCCACUUUCGUUGC
rnacentral:tRNA from 1 species